rnacentral:lncRNA from 1 species
GCACAACGCAGCUAUGUUGGAUCCUCAGACUUCAAUAAUAGGCCUAUUGAUUUUCUCCCAUGAAGAGCUUUAUUUAACGUCAUGGUACAACUUAGUUUCCUAGGCUACUCAAACUUUGCCAAGGCUUACAUUAACAUAAACUUUCACAUCAUCAGUAAUUCCCGUAUAGUGUUGAACACGCUUCUCGUUUACCUUAAAUGGGACUUCUCCAUCUUACUUCAAUUCAAUCACACCAUGCAGGAAUACUCUAACCACAGUGAAUGGUCCACACCACCUAGACUUCAGCUUGCCUAGAAAAAAGCAAAGUCUCUAUGAUAUAAUAGGACCAUAUCACCAGGCUCGAACACCUUUUUCUCAAU